AGAGUUUGAUCCUGGCUCAGAGUGAACGCUGGCGGCGUGCCUAACACAUGCAAGUCGAACGAUGAUGGAGAGCUUGCUCUCCUGAUUAGUGGCGCACGGGUGAGUAUACCAUAGAUAAUGUACCUCUUAGUUCGGGAUAGCCACUGGAAACGGUGAUUAAUACCGGAUACUCCUUCUUGUCUUAAGGCGAGUCGGGAAAGUUUUUUCGCUAAGAGAUCAGUCUAUGUCCUAUCAGCUAGUUGGUGAGGUAAUGGCUCACCAAGGCUAUGACGGGUAUCUGGUUUGAGAGGAUGAUCAGACACACUGGAACUGAGACACGGUCCAGACUCCUACGGGAGGCAGCAGUGAGGAAUAUUGCACAAUGGAGGAAACUCUGAUGCAGCAACGCCGCGUGGAGGAUGACGCAUUUCGGUGUGUAAACUCCUUUUAAGAGGGAAGAUAAUGACGGUACCUCUUGAUUAAGCACCGGCUAACUCCGUGCCAGCCGCCGCGGU
rnacentral:rRNA from 1 species